rnacentral:rRNA from 1 species
AACGAACGCUGGCGGCAGGCUUAACACAUGCAAGUCGAGCGCCCCGCAAGGGGAGCGGCAGACGGGUGAGUAACGCGUGGGAAUCUACCCAUCUCUACGGAAUAACGCAUGGAAACGUGUGCUAAUACCGUAUACGUCCUUCGGGAGAAAGAUUUAUCGGAGAUGGAUGAGCCCGCGUUGGAUUAGCUAGUUGGUGGGGUAAAGGCCUGCCAAGGCGACGAUCCAUAGCUGGUCUGAGAGGAUGAUCAGCCACACUGGGACUGAGACACGGCCCAGACUCCUACGGGAGGCAGCAGUGGGGAAUAUUGGACAAUGGGCGCAAGCCUGAUCCAGCCAUGCUGCGUGAGUGACGAAGGCCCUAGGGUUGUAAAGCUCUUUCACCGGUGAAGAUAAUGACGGUAACCGGAGAAGAAGCCCCGGCUAACUUCGUGCCAGCCGCCGCCGUAACAC